GCACACCUGGCUCACAGCGAGUGCGGAGCGGAAAGCACUACUGGCGCGGACCACAGCCAGCCGCUUUCAUCUGCUAAGACCUCACCUGAAAGGCGCACCAGUGCCCUCAAGGAUCCUCCCGCCUCUGCAGGAUGUCGAGGCUCCUCCUCGCGGGGAGGAGAAAGCCGAAUCCCCUCCCCCUGCAUUCUCGGACAGUGCCACGUCCUCAGGCUGCCAGCCGGGCAGCGCCGCUAGGUAUGUGAGCUUCAAAGUUGGAAGAAAUUAAGCAACAUGCUUUGGAAUCUAUGGUGAUCUAUAGAAAGGCAAAGAGUUUCUGGACUCACCCUGACUGAUGGAAAGACAGACUGCCUGCCAGGACACUACCCUGCCUUACCCAGGCUUAAGUAUAAUCAAGAUCUCAUUUUUUACUGUCAAUGCAAGCCACAUUUUCCUAUUAGGAAAAUGUGAAUGAAACAAAGUGCUCUUCAAGAGCAACCCCUGAAUUAUACUUUGGGUUAUUCUCUGUUCCUCAAAAGGAUUUUGCAUCUAACUGAUAGUCUCCAAAUUUUAAUGACAGUAUAUAGAUAGCUUGGUGUAGACAUACAGGUGAAUACAAAUGGUGAAAAGGCAAUUUGCCAUUGAAGAAUAUGUUUGCUUUAAGUAAAGAUCAAUAUACUAAGAAAGCUAUACAUAUCUAGACUUCCAAAAAACAGAUGGGAAUAAACCACUCAGCAAUCAGAAAAUUCGAAGAUGGCACUCUGUUCACUUCCAGAGAAAAUAGUUCAAAACUGUAUCUCAAAGUGGAUAUAAGCUAUUGUACUAGAAUUAGUCCCUGUAUGAGCAUUUAGCAUUAUAAAAUAAGGUGUUCCCAAUGAAAAGAUCACUGGUAUAUAGAUAAUAAAACUUGAAAAUAAAAAUUUAAAAAUAAAACAAAAAUUAUGUGAUAAUAAAUUUUGCACUCCUUGGUCCUUAUCAUUAUUAUCUUGUGGCCAAGAGUUUACAGUUGAACUGGUUACCUAUGGUGGGGCUAUACAAGGACAUUUACUUUUUAUUCUACAUACUGUGUAUCAUUUGAAUUUUGGACAAUGAAUGUUUAUUCAGGUAUUAAUUUUAGAUUUUAUUUAAUUUAGAAAACAUUUUAUAGUUAAAAUAAGGGCUGCCAAUUUAACACACUAAUGUCAGGGUCUAAGUGGUAAAACUUGAACCUAAAAUAAGAAUUUUUAUACUACAUAUGAUAAAUAUAUAAGAAGAUAACUUAUAUAAACACAGUUCAAAGGGAAUCCACAAGUUAUUAGUAAUGUUAUAUCUAGAGAGUGGAAUUAUGGACAUUUACUUUCUUUUUUCCUUAUUUUCUAUAAUUUUUUACAUUAUGUAUUACAUACUUUACAUAACUUUAAGUACUUACUGCUUUUGUGAUAAGAAAAAAGUAGAAUUGUUACUAAGAAAAAAGGUAGAUGAAACACAUCUUGGUGUAUUCAUACAAUACAAUACAGUACUAGCCAGCAAUCAAAAAGAAUGAACUCAGAAACAUGCAACAUGGAUACAUCUCGAAAACAUUUUAAGUGAAACAAGCCAUAUGCAAAUGAGUACAUCCUGUGUGAUUCCAUUUAUUUGAAGUCUGACAACAGGUCUACAGCCGUACUACCCUGAAUGCACCUGAUCUUGUGUGAAGUCUAAUAACAGACUAUAGGAAAAACAUCUAUUGUGAUAUAAGUCAGGAAGUGGUUGAACGGUGAGAGACAGGGUGAGAAGUGAUUGCAAAGGUUCACAAAGAAAUUUUCUGAGGUGAUGAAGCUGUUCUGUAUCUUGUUUUGGGUGAAGACAACAUAGGUGUGUAGAAUUGUUGAAGCUCAUUGAACUGGGCACUUAGAUCUGUAGAUUGUAUACAUAGGAGUAAAUAAAUUAAAACUAUAUAUUGCCCCCAAAAUUUUAAUUUGAAGGAUUUCUUUGGUAGAAAGUCACCCGCACUUUAAGAACAGUUUUGAAAAUUAGGAAAAUGCUAUAAAAUAUAGCCCAAAAGAAAUUCUGUAAAAGACCCAAUUGCAAAUUAAAAACUUAAGCCUAUCCAUAUGAGUUUUUUUUUUUUUUGAGAUGGAGCCUCACUGUGUCACCCAGGCUGGAGUGCAGUGGCACAAUCUCGGCUCACUGCAACCUCUGCCUCCCGGGUUCCACUGCGCCCCACCUUAGGAUAAUAUUUUAUAUGCAUGUGUACACCAAACACUUACAAUUGGAGCAAGGCAUGUUGUUAAGGUGUGACUUAGGGCUUUUGUAAUCAUUUAGUAUAAAAUUAUUACUUCUAAAACUUAGUGAAGGCACAUAACGAAAAGUUUGAGAAUAAGCUUCAUAUUAUGAUUAAACAAAUUAUUAAUUUUAUAUAUCAACAGUUCACCCUGAACAUUGAUUGAUAAAUACAUUUACAAGCACUUAUUUGCUUUAUGGCCUAGGUUAAGUCACUUAUAUCUGGCUUUUAAUUUCCUAAUCUACAAUGAAAAAUGUGGAAUUUAAGCAGCAGUUUUCCAACUUAAGCAUGCAUCAGAAUCACCUGGAGGGCUUGUUAACAUAAAUUGUUGGGACCUACCCCCUUGAGUUUCUGACACAAUAAGGUCUGGGGUGCGGCCCAAGAAUUUGCAUUCCUGACAAGUUCCCAGAUCAUGUUGAUGCUGCUGUCUGGGAACCACACUUUGAAAACCACUGAAUGAGAACUAUCCUAAGCUGUAUCAGACAACAGAUCAGAACUUCUGCAGAUAGACAGAAAAGCACACCAAUGAAGAACUACUUACAAAAUCUAUGUUGAAUUUAGAGAACUGUAUCCGCAUUUGGAACAAGAUUUCUAAAUAUUACUGUGGUAUGGGGUGUUUUGCACCAUCUCUGUUUUGACCUCUAGAUUUUGCAGUCACCAUAGUCACUUUUGCACCCCCUGUGUGGCAACUGGGUUGUAGUGUUUCUAAGAACUACUUCUGGGCUGAGAGGGAGUUUCCAAAAGAAUUGGAGAGGUGGAAAAUCCCCAUGGCCCAAACCAGUUGUAUUAGGUUUCACUGCCCUAGUUAUGACAUUGGAAAUAGCUAUUCUAAUACUAAAAACUGUGCACCAAAAGAAAAAUGUGAUUCUGGCAGAGAGACUAAGGCAGAUGAGAAAAUGCAAGAAUGUCAAAGUAAAGCCAGUUAGGCUUUGUGGUAACACACAGGCAGGUGCAUGAUUUCCCUGUGCUCUUUGGAAACCUUUAAAAAGUCAGAAACAAUCAUGCUUUCCAUUAAUUAACACAGUAGCUUGAAAUGCUUAUUUUAAAGCCAGGAGAUUUCCGAUUCAUCUGCAGAUUAUAGUAGUAUGCUUCUCAGCAAAAUCCAUCUAAUAGUAAACAUUAGAGUCUUUCAAGUUAUUAAAUACGCAUAGGUUGUUAAGUAAAUUUUGAAGUAUUUGUUAAAUCAAUCAAUGAGCAAGAAUGCAAACAUACCUUUUUGUCUCUCUUCAAUGAGCUUUCAGUUUAGUUAAAAGGGAGAAAAGGUGCACGCUACAGUUAGAACAAUUGACUGGUAAACUAAAUGGUACUGAGUUAAAUUUAGUGUGAGUACAGAAAAAGUUGGGGUUAGUAUGGGCUGGUAUAGUUGAAGGGACAAGAGUGGCACUUGAGAUGGGUGUUAGGAUGAAGGAGGCCAAGGAAGGGACUCAGCAAAAUAAAAUAGCUUCAUUAAAAGCCACGGAACUUGGGUUAAACACAGUGCUAGCCUGUAGGUAAAGGGAGAUGUUGGGGAUUUUUGAAUGACCAGGUUCAUCCAUCCAUACAUCUAAUCCUCUAGGGUUGUUCAUUCAGAGAACAUGUAUCAAGAGCCAACUGUAAGCUAGACACUAUGCUAUGGAGUGCCUUGGCAAUUAGAAUUUGGUUAACGUUUGGCAAAGGCAAAAGAAUUUGGACUUAAUGUUAUGCAUUUAAGCAGAGAAUGACAUGAUGAAAACCUUUUUUUAGGAAGAUUACCCAGGCAACAGGCUGGAUUGCACUUUUUUUGUGUGUUUUCUUUUUGUUUUUUUUUUUUUUGAGACGAAGUCUUGCUCUUGUCCCCCAGGUUGGAGUGCAAUGGCACAAUCUCGACUCACUGCAACCUCUGCCUCCCAGGUUCAAGAGAUUCUCCUGCCUCAGCCUCCCGAGUAGCUGGGAUUAUAGGCACGCAUCAUCACACCCAGCUAAUUUUGUUAUUUAUUUAUUUUUUUUUUAGUAGAGGCCUUGAACUCCUGACCUCAGGUGAUCCGCCCGCUUUGGCCUCCCAAAGUGUUGGGAUUAUAGGCGUGAGCCACCGUGCCUGGCCCUCUGCUUCCCUCUUUUCUAAUCUGAUGGUUAAGCCCUUAGCAUUCCCUUGACUCUGGAACUUUUGCAGAGCAAAGAGCAGAGGCUGUUUGAAGCCAAGUGCAUUUCUAGACUUUUAUGAAAUUCUAAGCCCACUGCAAAGAUUGAGCCAGAUGUUCCAUUGGGGAGGAGAGGAGAGAGAAAAGUUUUUGAAGUCAACAAAGAGGAGAGAGUGACAUUUCACCCAGACGGAAAGAGAUUGGAGGUCAAAGAGUAACAAGUACCCACCUCCAUUCCAUAUCAGUGCCCUGGAGAAGCAGCAGGACCUCAAAGAGGGAAGUAAUGGGGUGACUUGGAGAGGCUGCACUUUAGCAGGGGAUUCUGGCUCCAUAAAAGUUUAAAUAUAACAACCUUCUAGGGUUGGCAAAACCAUGCUUACGGAGGCAGGGAUGCUUUAGUGGUAGAUCAAUGAUCAGAGUAGUCUCCUUGGUGCUUUGGCACCAGGUAAAACCUAGGGACCUUUAAAUAGCUGAGAAAGUAGGGAGAGGAGGAAAUAUCGAAUGUAUGAAAUUGAAUUUCUCACCAUCCUGAUUCAGACAGGGACUUUAAAUUGAUGACUACCAUAGAUUUAUGAACUAAGAGUCAUACACUAUGAACUUUUGUUCACUGGUACUCAGUCCUAGACCCUUUUCACCUCUCUGUUCUCUUCUGGUGUCAUCUCAUCCUUUGCCAUCUUUAUACCAGUGGCUUCCAAUUUAUAUUUUUAUUGUAGAAUUCUCCUCUGAGUGCCACUCUCAAAUACCUGGUUACCUAUUUGAUAUCUGCAUGUGGAUGUGUCAUAGACAUCUCAAAAUUACCGUAGGAAAGACUGAUCUCCUGAUUGUUGUCUUCCCCUUGUUUAAAGUGCCUCCCUUUCCUCCUAAUACUUUAUAUGAGGAGUCAGAAAACUAUGGACUGUGGACCAAAUCCAGCCCCCACCUGUUUGUGCAAAUACAGUUUUGUUGGAACACAGCCAUGUUCAUUCUUACGUGUUGUGUGUGGCUGUUUUUAUGCAACAAUGGCAGAAACUUUACAGACUGCAAAGCUUAUUUACUAUCUGGCCCUAUACAGAAAAAGUCUACCAAUUCCUGCUCUUUGCUUUCUUCAAUGUAUUUAUCACAAUUUGAAGUUAUAGAUUUGUUUGAUUAUUUGCUUAUUUAUCUGUCUCCUUCAUUAGAAGGUAAUUCUGUAGUACCUAACAGCACCGUUGCCUAGUCAUGGUAGACACUCAAUUGUCAUUGACUAGAAUGUAUGAAUGAGAAAAUGAACUAUUAUAUAUUAAAAUUUUAUUUUGGUCUUUUGCCUUAGCACAAAACUUUCAUCCUUCCUUACCCUCUAAUGACUUCAUAUCUUUUUUUUUUUUUUUUUUUUUUUCGAGACGGAGACUUGCUGUGUUACCCAGGCUGGAGUGCAGUGGCACUAUCUUGGCUCACUACAACCUCCACCUCCCGGGUUCAAGCAAUUCUCCUGCCUCAGCCUCCUGAGUAGCUGGGAUUACAGGCAUGUGCCACCACACCUGGCUAAUUUUUGUAUUCUUAGUAGAGACAGGGUUUCACCAUGUUGGCCAGGCUGGUCUCAAACUCUUGACCUCAUGAUCUGCCCACCUCGGCCUCCCAAAGUGCUGGGAUUACAGGUGUGAGCCACCAUGCCUGGCCCUAAUGACUUCAUAUCUUAAGUAACAGAGUGCCAAAAUAAUGAGUCCCCUCAAUUUCUUUGCCCUCUACUCUAUCCUCCUUUCAGAUUAAUCUUUCUAAAACAGAGCUCAGAUAUCACUCUCCCUCAAAGAAACCUGGAGACCCAAUGACUUGUCCAUUAAUCAUAAACUUCUUUACCUGCUUCUUAAAGUUCUCUGAAUCUGGCUCCACUCUAUUUUUCUGUCCCCCUAUAUUCUAUUCCUGCUACUACUUCUCCACCCUGAACUUCCCCACCUCUAUACUUCAUACACUUGGAAUAUUCUUUUCUAUCACUACCACCUCCACCUGUCAAAAUCCUAUCCACCCUUCAAGUAUUUCCCUCAAGCUGCCUUUGAGUACCACCAAAAGACAUCUUUCUCUUCUUCCAUCUUCCAAAAUACUUUUUGUACCUAUAGUAACUUGUAUGUCAUUUCUCCAUACUGCGUUCUCCUACUUAAGAAAAGGAACCACAGCUUUCUCAUCUUGGUAUCUGCUAUGGUUUGAAAGUUUGUAUUCCACUCCAAAUUCAUAUGUUGAAAUCCUAACCCCCAACAUAAUGGUAUUAAGAGGUGGGGGCUUUGGGAGAGAUUAGUGUCCUUAUAAAAAGAGACCUCAGAGAGUUAGCUAGUCCCUUCUACCAUGUGAAGACACAGCAGGAAAUCCAUAAACCAGAAAGUGGGCCCUCACCAGACACUGAAAAUGCCAGUGCCUUGAUCUUGGACUUCCCAGCCUCCAGAACUGUGAGAAAUGAAUUUCUAUUGUUUAUAAGCCACUCAGUCUAUGGUAUUCUGUUACAGCAACCUGAGUGGACUAAGACUGCUUCUGAAGUAUUUGGAACAGUAUCUUUCUAGAUCUCAAUAAAUAAUCAUUGAAUGAAUGAAUAAAGCAAUGCCUUUUCUUUUCAUAUCUACUUAGUGAAAUGCUACUCAUUCCUCAGAGACUAAAAUCUUUGCUUCUGACCCCAGUCCAUGAUGAUUUUUCCUUUCUGUACUGCCUUGUAUUUUUUUUUCAUCAGUGACUUUCUCCUAUUGCAAUCUCUAGAAGGUAGAGACUAAAUCCUAUACAACUUUGUGUUCUUCUUCCUUCACCUAACAGUACCUUGUGCAUUACAAGUGCUCAGUAAAUAUUUUUGAUUAAGUUGUAAAGCAGCUGCCUAUUUUUCCACUUCCUUUGCUGCUCAAAAGGAUUAGAGCAAUGAUUGUUUUAGCUGCUAAGGCCUGCUUCAGAGACACAUUAUUAAUGAAAGUUGUCUGGGAGACAGUAAUGUUGAACGGGGAUUUUUAAAUGAGUCUCCAGCUUCAACAUUCAUCAACAAAAGAAGGGGAUACUGAACAGCCACUCUAAAAAAAAAUCUCCUUUUAUGAAGUUGUCCGGAACUGCCUGAGCUACUAAUCACUGCAAGGUUUUCAGUCUCUGCCUUGAGCAUUUAGAGCACAUUCUUGCCUUAACCUCCAAGUCAGAUUUCUCCAUGGUAAUGCAGGAGUGUUUGCUAUUUUAGGAAAUACGCCUCACUGCAUGCAGUACUAUUUACAUUAAGUUCCAAACAAGGCAUAAAUGCAACAGCUUGACUGUGCUAAUUUGUGUGAGUGGGAAGGUCUCGCUUACUUAAUGUGGGCCUCUCCCUAAUUGUGUUACCCUGUUUCAUUUUAUAAGCCGACCACAGUGAGAUUACAUGUUAAUAAAUUUUGCUUAUCUUAUACUGAAGGAGAAAUGCAGAGAGAGAAAAAAGGCAACAAACAAAAUAAGAAUUCCUCCAGACCCCCCUUUGCAAGGGCAUCAUUUUUUCUGCCUUCACACCCUCCAGGUCUGGUUUCAUUUAAAAACUUCAUUGAGAUGAAGCUUCUAACAUUCUGUAGAAGGAAAUAAUAUCAAUAACUGAAACAGUUGCUAGCUUUUCCCUGCAACUUUGUAGAUACCUUUACUGAGGAAGAGAAAAAUGCUUUGUAAACUUUAUUAGAUUUUCUGACUCCCUAGUGAAAAAGAUGUGGACAAGAUGUCACGGCCUCACAUCAAAAAGCUCCUCAACACUCUGAUCACACAUACUAUUGAUCUGAAUGGACAUCGAGAAGGAUUGGAAGGAAAUAUGGAAUGAUGUCAGUCAAUGGCAUAUCUAGUUGGUGAUACUUUUUUUGCUUUGUAAGAAGUUAAUUAUAGAUGUUCAUAAAUAUUGUGCAAGUGCACUCCCAUUAAAAUGAAUGUUGUAGAAUGUUUUGGUAGAAUGGAAAAGGAAAACAGCUAGAAAGACUGUAAGAUCAAUUAAAUAAUCUUUAUCGAAAGUGUCUGUCUUAUUUGAGAGAAUGAAGACUCUGAAGUGAACUUCCUGUACUCAGAUAUUAUAGUGAGUAUAUUAUACUCAUACUCCAGACUUUCAUACUGGGAUCACUUGAGAAAUAGUUAUAUCUAUGGGAUGUGGGGUAAAUGAGCGUUCUUCACUUCGACAAUUCAGACCUAGAAGUGCAAGAUCUGUGAGCUCUCCUUUCUUCUAGGGCCCAACUGUUUGUGGUAUUCUCAAUUGUGAAGUGUAGGUGGAAUUAAAGGAAGUGAAUAGGUCUUUAGAACUCAAGCUCCUCCAUACUCCAGCUGAAUCAGUGAGGGAUUCCAGGGAUGGCUUCGCUGGAGAUGAGGAGAUUCUUUGGCCUCUGAAGAACAGGCCCAGAGCUUAGAAAUUGAACUUUUGCCUUCCACAUUGUAAGGGUCUUUCUUCUGUGGUGACAGUUGGCAUGGCAGACAAGGUUUGAGUAGAAUACAGUGGAACUAUAACUGUUACAGUGGAAGUAUACUGUUAGCAGACAAGGAUAACACCCACAACAUAGGCUCCAAGUGUCACAAAUAGCAAGAUUCACCAUACAUUACCUAUGCAGAGGGGAGAGACAAAGUGCUUUGUAAUUGGUUUUAUAAUCUUCUUUCCCCCAACCAAUUCAAAGAAGAGACUUGACAAAACAGUUCAUAGCUGUGUCAGAUUAUGAUUUGCUCUCUCAAGAGGUGACAUCAAUUAUCUGCUCUUCAAGCAAUCCUCAGUUUCCACAACUAGGAUUGCCUUUCUAAAUGCAAAUCAUAUGCUUUUAUUCCCCUUGCUUUUUUUUUUCUGGUGCCUACAACAUGAAGCCCUUAGCUCAACAUUUAUGGUACUUUCCAGCUAUAUAUUUUAUCAUUCUCCAAUACUUAUUUUUGGUAACAUCGAUUACUCCCAAUUCCUAGCUGUGUUCCACGUCACUGUAUAUAUUGCUCCGUUUCCUCUUUUCUGCCUGGUGUAUCCAGUCUUUAAGGCCCAACAGAAGGGUGACCUCCAGGUGAGUGCCUCCUUGGAGUUAAUCCCUUUCAGCUGUGGGUUCCUUUAGCACCAUGCGUGUAUUUCUGUCUCCUCAUUUAUCACACUGUAUUUUAGUUCUUUGUUUACAUACCAGUCUUUCACUGGACUAUAAACCUUUGGAAGGCUAGGACUCCCUAUUCUAGUGGUACUCACUGAGCAACUGUCUCAUCUCCUAGAGAGCAUUUUGAAAUUUUAUGGGGGAGUUUCUUGUUUUUGAUGUUGUCACAAUGAUAAGUGAGGCAAGGGAUGUUACAGGACAAAGUAUUGUACCAAAUUCCAAAUGACUUUUGAAAUUUAAAUGUUCCACUGGGUGAUGAUAAAACUGUUUACAAUCAUCUGAACCUAGAACUUUAUAUAUAGGAGCAUGAUGUUAAUUUACACUAAAUUUUUCCAUGAAUUAAACUACUAUGUAAAUUGAGGGAAGACACUACCAGUCCUUGGGCCCAAUUUUGUUUUCCAUAAGACGUAGACCCAAAGGGAGAAACAAGGAAAUAUGCUAUGGGAGGCUUUCUAUUCUCCACACUUGAGAGGACCAACUAUCAGCAGCCUCCUGUGGCAGAGCUUUCCAACGUUGGUAUUCCAGCACAGUGUACCUCAGCAUGGUCCACCACUGUGCAAAGAUGCUGAUCCCCUCAGCUCUCAGAGUGGUGCAUGGGUCCUGAGGUGGCCAUAAGCAAUUGCCUCAAACCAUGAGCAGCCAUGGUCACUUAUUUCAGAAUACCAUAGAUGUACACUCAUUUCCUAUGAAAAUGAAUUUUCUAUGAAAAAGGGUAGGAAACAUUCUCUUAUAGAACAAACAGUGCAAUGUAUCAGGUUUUGAAAUGUACAACGUAUUGGGUAAUAACAAUAAAUUUUUAUUAGGCAAUGUUUAAAAAGCAUAUCAAUUUCGUACAGUUUAUAUGAUUUGAUGCAUUUCUUCUGCCCAAUGGUCAUGCAAUAUUAUCCCCUGGAUGCUGUACUUAUUCUUGUUCUAAGCAUCCUUUUAGAGUAGAAUAUAAAUAAUUUAGUCUCUUUGAAAUUAUAAUCUUUUGCUUCUUUAAGUCUGUUCUGAAAACUGGUACCAAACCAAUUCCUUAAUUAGCAUUGAAAAUACUGAACUAAAUAUAUUCAUUUCAGUGCUUACCAAAGAUGAUGAAAAUAAGUAUAUGUACAAAAUAUUUUAGUAUUUAUGUGCCUGUAAAUACAAAAGGAGCAAUAAAAGUGAUUUCAUUUCGGAAGGUGAACAUUUUGAAAGAAAUAAUGUUCGUGUAAAUUCUGAACUACUAGAAUUUAGUUCUAAAUAAAUUAGUUCUAAAUAGAAUAAAAUAGAAUGAAAUAAAAUUCUGAAAUAAGAUAAAAAUAGAAUGUUAGCAUUAUAGGAAACUAUAGAGAUUAUUUGAGCUAAUCUUCCCAUUUUAUGUAUAUGGAAGCUGAGAAGUGACAUAUUCAUAGUCAUACAGCUAAUAAAUAAUCAGGAUGGAAUCGCUUCUCGGCCCUUUGGCUAAGAUCAAGUGUAGUAUCUGUUCUUAUCAGUUUAAAUAAUCAGGAUGGAAAUUCAAUUCUUCUUAUUCUCAGUUGAGCUUUUUCUAAUUAAAUGUAUUACGAAAUAUUUUCAAGAGUCCCUUAAGAAAAUUUCCCGUAUAUUUCAACAUGUAUCUUGCAAAAAGCCUAUGAACUUCAAUUUGUAUUCAUACUUGUAAAAUUAUGUUCACACACAUUAUUUCUUGAGUUUGUCAACCAGAGCUUUCCAACCAAAAUGGAGCUGCAGUCUAAAAAGUUUAUAAUUGUGGCCAA